rnacentral:rRNA from 1 species
CCUACGGGGGGCUGCAGUGGGGAAUAUUGGACAAUGGGGGGAACCCUGAUCCAGCCAUGCCGCGUGUGUGAAGAAGGCCCUCGGGUUGUAAAGCACUUUCAGUGAGGAAGAACGCCUGGUGGUUAAUACCCAUCAGGGAAGACAUCACUCACAGAAGAAGCACCGGCUAACUCCGUGCCAGCAGCCGCGGUAAUACGGAGGGUGCGAGCGUUAAUCGGAAUUACUGGGCGUAAAGCGCGCGUAGGUGGCUUGAUAAGCCGGUUGUGAAAGCCCCGGGCUCAACCUGGGAACGGCAUCCGGAACUGUCAAGCUAGAGUGCAGGAGAGGAAGGUAGAAUUCCCGGUGUAGCGGUGAAAUGCGUAGAGAUCGGGAGGAAUACCAGUGGCGAAGGCGGCCUUCUGGACUGACACUGACACUGAGGUGCGAAAGCGUGGGUAGCAAACAGGAUUAGAUACCCGGGUAGUC